rnacentral:lncRNA from 1 species
UUGAAUUUUUCCUCGUUGGACGAAAGCCACAUGGCCCGCCAGCGAAGGCACCGGUGAUUAUUGGCGCUUUGUAAUAUUUAUUUCCGAGGCGUGCGAAAUUCGCCACAAAAUCAAAACCAAAACACAGGCAGACACGGAACAGCUAAAGACACGUGUAAUGAGCACCGAGAAAAGGGAACCGUGAGGCAUGUACUACCUGGGACUCAUGCCAACUGCUGACAAAAGGCUCCGCCACAUGCUCCACGGGAGAAGCCUUCAACUCUCUACCCCGAGAUACAUCUGUAAUCCCCUCAACGCUGUCUAGCACAUCAGCCGUGGCUGGCAGGCGCGGUGGCAUUGUUGCUUCAUGCACCUAUCACCUGCAACGGCCGUUUAUAUGGCAUUCUCCGCUGUCCUUGAGGCUGAGAGGCAGGCUGAUCUUCUGCUGAUCCACAAAGGACCAGGUGCAUCGUAGUGGGCAUGCCAUGAAGACUUAAAUGAGUAAAAAGUUGAAGAUGGAUGGCAUUUAGGUGUCAAUGAUGUGCACACAUUUCUGAAAGGCCUUCUGUGUGGCUCACAAGCUGAGGUAGUAGGUUGUAUAGUUUGUGGGAGGGAUAAAACCCUAUUCAGGUGAUAACUAUACAGUCUAUUGCCUUCCUUGAGAGACACGAUGAACGACAUGCAGUACUGGUCUCCUGCCAUUGUUGUACAGUCCUAUUCAGAGUACAUAUGUAUAAAUGUAGCUCACAUUUACUGAUUUAAACAUGUAAACAUACAAUUUAUGAAUGUUUAAGGUUUAUGAAACAUUUGCUGAUUUCUAAAGCCAUCCAUAUAAUAAAUAUAUUUCUUGUUUUAUAGCUCCGCA